UUUGUUUCGUUGAUUUUGUUGCGUACCUCACAUAUGUUCCUGCAAAGGGGAUUCUGUCUCUUCCUAUUUAGAAGAUGCUCUCGGAUCUAGCUAGAUUACUAGAAGGCUUUUUGUUGUCUUUUUGGCUGUUUGGCACCUCGCUUUUUCCUCAUCGAGAAGGGGGGCGGGUUUGUCCUAGAGCUGCUUUCUUUACAUAUGAGGCUUUUGUUCGUUUGCCUGAUGUGUUACCCUCCUUUCAGCUGUAGGACUUUCAGGAUAGACCUUCCUAUCGAUUUUUAUUCGAUAAACUUAACAUAUCUCAUGGAAAUUCUGGUAUGAGAUGUGUUUUUUGCGGUGGCUGUUCUUGCAUGCGUUGUAGCAGAUUUAGUGACAAAAACGUUUGUAAGUCCUGGAGCAUCAGUAUAUUUAAAUUUAUUUUCCUUUUGCCCAUUUUGUUUGACGUAUUUUCUCAAGAGGAAUUGAUUCUGUACUUGAUAUGCAAGGAGCUCAUGAGUUCGUGUCGCUGUUGUGCGUCGUCUCUCCCUCCUCCCGGCUCUCAACAGGAGCAGUGCAGACCCUCCACAACUGAGGAUACCUAGAACGGUGAGACUAUAUGGACAAAGUAAUACAAAAUUCAGAUUUUAGAGCAUCAUGCCAUUGUUUAAUCUACUUCUGUAGCAAAUAUCUUGGUGAGACUGUAUGGACAAAGUAACAGAAACUUCACAUUUUUGAUCAUGUGAAUUGAUUGCGAAUCUAUUGUCCUUGUAUUACUACUUUUCUAUUGUUUGGACUGUAAUAGAUUCGUCUAGAGCAUUCAGGUUUCCAGUAUUCGAAGUACAUUACAUGAUUCGGUCCUAUUUAGCUUGGUAUCCUAUAAUACAACAAAGGUUGAAGCGUAGGUUUCUUUACCUAUACCUACGAUGGUCCUGUCUGUUAUCAGCUUAAACUGUAAUUUGCAUUAGCAGACAGACAAUGGAUGUUAUGGGUUCAUAACUUUUUGUUAUAUUUGAAUCGGUAUAUUAGGUUAAGGUUUGCUAAAUUGAAAAACAUGUGGACGGAAUUUCACUUUUUUGUGUAAGAAGGAUUACUGAACCUCCAUGUAGAACAAUAUUCAACCAGAAGGCGUGCCAAUUUGGUGUCACAAUAUGUUUUUAUUUUUCUUCUUAGUCAAGCAUUCCGGCAUGUCAAUUUAAUUUUCUCUUUCUUUGCUUCUGCAGUACGGUCCUAUUGUUGACAUCGAUUUGAAAAAAAUGAUAUGUGCGGAUCUUAGGAAGAACAUAUAAAGUUAAAUUUGGGGGUGUUGCUUUUGUGAGUGACUCAAUCUGAUAUGUCUAAUUCUGGCUUUAUGCGGUACCAUGAUCUUACAAUUUGUUACUAAAGAUACAUGAUGUUUACUAAAGAUAUGUCUAAUUCUGGCUUUAUGCGGCACCAAGUUUGUUGUUGUGGUUGCGGAAUGGCGCACAACAACUAGGAAGCGGACUAAAGCCAUGGCACCAGUGGUAGCUCUUCGAUGGAGCGCCUCAUGCCAUGAAGGCACAACCAGCGGCUCCCCACGAUACACAACACCGAGAUGAUGAGGUAUGCCAUGGAAUGAUUGGGUUUUGAGUGGUAGGUGAUCCCUAUGCCGGCUGUGAUAGCGGCCAUCAUUGGUAUACAACAAUGCAGCGAUUGUCUCGGGUGUGCUCCCAUCCUCCCCACCUCCCCUAGAUGCGCAAUGCUAGGAAAACUAAUGAUUUUGUUCUCGGAUGUUCAUACAUAAUCUAGGUUGUUAUUGAGCUCCACGGCUGGCCUUAGAUUGGCUAGCAUCGGCACACUUUACUCAAAUCUAUACCAUAAGAACAUGUGCUCCAGUCUGACGAAGCAACCAAGCUGUAUAUACACAUCUUUGCUUCCUGAUCCAUUUUGUUUUGCGAUUCACGCCAUCCGUGAUGGUCAGGCUGAUGCUUCUUCGCUUGAUUCUGAAGAAAAGGAUGAUCAGAUUCAGAUUCCCAAGAACAAUAGGUGUUGCAUCUUCUCUUGUAUCUUUACCUGUGUACUUUAAAUUCACAUGGACAGUCGAAUUGUAUGUAUAUACACACCUUGAAAUUAAGAAACUCUGGUGGUGCAAAGGGAGUUGGGACAGGGAAGAAAUUAAAGCAGUGACUGCUCUGCACUAGCUGUACAGGGAUCGAAAGCAUAUAGGUAUAGCAAUAAAUUCCCUUCUGAUGUUCAAGUUAAAUUUCUUUGUUGAAGAUAUAGCUGGAAGUUAUGUUCUGAAUUUGAUUCUUUAAACUACAGGCUAUUUUGUGUAUUAAUCUCUUCAUUUUUUUCCUACUACACUUGCCUAAAUUGAGAUAAGCUGGCUCAAACUGCAAGGGGUAUUCUUUGAAGGUCUACCUACAUCUACACGUUGCACAAAAGAUUGGAUCUUUGUAGUGCGUCUUCUCAUCAGUAGAGAUUACAUAGUAGGUAGUAGGGACACCAUAAUAUACUAUCUUCUUAAUUUAGUAUUUUAUUUUAGAACAUAUAAGUACAUUCUGUAAUAUGUGUCUUGUUUUACUUUGUCCGCGGUGACUGGAAGUAUUCUCGGCUUUACCGUCAAUAAAAAGAAGGCAUACAAAAAAUUAAGUUUUUUUCCUUAGUUGCCUCAUUUAAUUGUCGCUUAUUUAUUUCAAGUUAUUCAAUUCUCAUGGAGCUUUCCUUUGCUAAAGAAGAAAAGAGGGGUUGUCAGGUCAGACUUUGGUGCGUCUCUGACUAGAGAUAGCUGGAUCCGUGUGACGCUCUUCCAAAUGGUGCAGAUUCACUGACUGGUACAACCUCUAUACCUUUGCUACUCUAGCUUCUUUUUACAUUUCUUAGUAUCAAAAAAUAAGUUGGCCCCAGUAUAUACUUGAAGAUUGCAUCUGGUACAAAAUUGUUGGCUGACUAAAAUAAUUAGGUAUACUGCUCAUCUAUGUUUUAUAAAUAGAUGAUGGUAAUUUUUUCUAACGUUGGCCCACCCGGUUAAUUGAGUUGUGUCUAUGAAGGGUCAGUAGAGUAGUUGCUUUGAAAAAACUGGGAGUACCAAUUUGGUUGCCAUGCGAUUGUAAAGCCAGAAUGGUGGUACUGAAAAGUGGUAUGUAAUGGUCAUCUGUGUUCUGGAGUUGGAACUUUGAUUCUUUUGAAGCUGGAAUAGCUAGGUUGUAUAUACAUACAUGCCACCCACUAAAUUCGGAUUUCAGUAUAUUGUUUAGAAUACCACUUGCUUUCACUAUAAGUACUGGACUACUAUGAGUGUUGUCGCCUUCGUCGAUGAGAGGACGAGAGCGGCAAUAGCACUAGCCAGCAAGGCAGGCUGCUUGGCUCUGGGGCCGACACACACCGUCCACUUCCGUUGGGCUGAUCUGCCACUUCAAAAACUUAUGGUGGCCAUAAGAAAUCUCAAGAGCUUAUUGUGAUGAUUUGAAUGUAAGCAGUUGCCCUCGUUGUGCUUGUGUGCUUCUAUGUCUUUUGUGGUCUAUUCUUAGUGUAUGGAAUGGUUAUAUUAGCCCUGUAGUUUACUUUAACUUUUGAAUCUUGAUGCAUCGAAAAUAGUUGUAAACUGAGACCUUAUUUCUGUGGGUGAAAGAAUAGAUGCACACUGGCUCUUUUGUUGUUUUU